rnacentral:rRNA from 1 species
CCUACGGGUGGCAGCAGUGAGGAAUAUUGGUCAAUGGGCGGAAGCCUGAACCAGCCAAGUAGCGUGCAGGAUGACGGCCCUACGGGUUGUAAACUGCUUUUAUACGGGAAUAACGCGCCUUACGUGUAGGGCUUUGCAUGUACCGUAUGAAUCAGGACCGGCUAAUUCCGUGCCAGCAGCCGCGGUAAUACGGAAGGUCCGGGCGUUAUCCGGGUUUUUGGGGUUUAACGGGAGCGUAGGCCGCAUGUCAAGCUUGCUGUGAAAUGUCCGGGCUCAACCCGGGCCUUGCAGCGCGAACGGGCGUGCUUGAGUCCGCGGAAAGCAGGCGGAAUUCGUCGUGUAGCGGUGAAAUGCUUAGAUAUGACGAAGAACCACGAUUGCGAAGGCAGCUUGCUGCAGCGGAACUGACGCUGAUGCUCGAAAGCGCGGGUAUCGAACAGGAUUAGAUACCCCUGUAGUC